UGAGGAAUAUUGGUCAAUGGUCGGGAGACUGAACCAGCCAAGCCGCGUGAGGGAUGAAGGUACAGAGUAUCGUAAACCUCUUUUGUCAGGGAACAAAAGGCGCCACGCGUGGCGCUCCGAGUGUACCUGAAGAAAAAGCAUCGGCUAACUCCGUGCCAGCAGCCGCGGUAAUACGGAGGAUGCGAGCGUUAUCCGGAUUUAUUGGGUUUAAAGGGUGCGUAGGCGGCGAGUUAAGUCAGCGGUAAAAGCCCGGGGCUCAACCCCGGCCCGCCGUUGAAACUGGCUUGCUUGAGUUGGAGAGAAGUAGGCGGAAUGCGCGGUGUAGCGGUGAAAUGCUUAGAUAUCGCGCAGAACUCCGAUUGCGAAGGCAGCCUACCGGCUCCAGACUGACGCUGAGGCACGAAAGCGUGGGUAUCGAACAGG
rnacentral:rRNA from 1 species